rnacentral:rRNA from 1 species
AUUGAACGCUGGCGGCAGGCCUAACACAUGCAAGUCGAACGGUAACAGGAAGCAGCUUGCUGUUUCGCUGACGAGUGGCGGACGGGUGAGUAAUGUCUGGGAAACUGCCUGAUGGAGGGGGAUAACUACUGGAAACGGUCGCUAAUACCGCAUAACGUCGCCAGACCAAAGAGGGGGACCUUCGGGCCUCUUGCCAUCGGAUGUGCCCAGAUGGGGUUAGCGAGGAGGUGGGGUAACGGCUCACCUAGGCGACGAUCCCUAGCUGGGCUGAGAGGAUGACAAGCCACACUGGAACAGAAACACGGUGCAGACUCCUAGGGUGGGGAGCAGUGGAGAAGAUUGCACAAUGGGCGCAGGGCGGAUGCAGCCAAGCCGGGUGUAUGAAGAAGGCCUUCGGGUUGUAAAGUACUUUCGGCGGGGAGGAAGGGAGUAAAGUUAAUAACGUUGCUCAUUGACGUUACCCGCAGAAGAAGCACCGGCUAACACCGUGCCAGCCGCCGCGGUAA